rnacentral:rRNA from 1 species
GUGGGGAAUCUUCCGCAAUGGACGAAAGUCUGACGGAGCAACGCCGCGUGAGUGAUGAAGGUCUUCGGAUUGUAAAGCUCUGUUAAUCGGGACGAAAGAGCCUAGUGUGAAUAAUGCUAGGAAGUGACGGUACCGGAAUAGAAAGCCACGGCUAACUACGUGCCAGCAGCCGCGGUAAUACGUAGGUGGCAAGCGUUGUCCGGAAUUAUUGGGCGUAAAGCGCGCGCAGGCGGAUCUGCCAGUCUGUCUUAAAAGUUCGGGGCUUAACCCCGUGAUGGGAUGGAAACUACAGAUAUAGAGUAUCGGAGAGGAAAGUGGAAUUCCUAGUGUAGCGGUGAAAUGCGUAGAUAUUAGGAAGAACACCAGUGGCGAAGGCGACUUUCUGGACGAAAACUGACGCUGAGGCGCGAAAGCCAGGGGAGCGAACGGGAUUAGAAACCCGGGUAGUCC